CCUAAGUAAAAAGGGGGACUCAAGGUAAGGGUCAAGAUUUACCUAUCAGAGCACUCUGAGUCAAAUUGCACGGUGUGGGAAGGCUUUCCCCACCCGGCAGAGCUUAGUCUUUAAUUUUAUUUUUUCUAAAAUACCUUAAAAGUAAACUUUGUAAAUCAGUACAUACAAGUAGUGUAUACCUUUAAAAAUAUAAUAUCUACACAAAAACAUAUCCAAAACAAAUGUAUAUCGUGUGACAAUGGAACACUCACAUAUAAGAGCUAAGAACCUUGCUCUUGUUUAGACAGCAAAGGGGUCUGUUUGGGCGACUCUUCCUUCCUGGAGGAACUGUUCUUCUUG